GAUAACCGUGGUAAUUCUAGAGCUAAUACAUGCUGGUGUGCCCGACUUUUGCGGAAGGGCGGUAUUUAUUAGAUAACAAGCCAAUAUUCCUCUGGUCUAUUGUGGUGACUCAUAAUAACUGAUCGAAUCGCAAGGCCUGUGGCCGCGAUAAGUCAUUCAAGUUUCUGCCCCAUCAGCUUUCGAUGGUAGUGUAUUGGACUACCAUGGCGUUACGGGUAACGGAGGAUUAGGGUUCGAUUCCGGAGAGGGAGCCUGAGAAACGGCUACCACAUCUAAGGAAGGCAGCAGGCGCGUAAAUUACCCAAUCCUGACUCAGGGAGGUAGUGACAAGAAAUAACGGACCGAGGCCCUCGGGCUUCGGGAUUGCAAUGAGCCGAAUUUACACCCCUUAGCGAGGAUCGAUUGGAGGGCAAGUCUGGUGCCAGCAGCCGCGGUAAUUCCAGCUCCAAUAGCGUAUAUUAAAGUUGUUGCAGUUAAAAAGCUCGUAGUUGGAUUUCUGGGAGGGUGCCAAUGUCCGCCGACGUGCGUGCGCAGCGGCGCCCUUCCAUCCUUCUGUUAACGCCUCUCGGCAUCCAUUUGCUGGUGGCGGGCUCAGAUAUUUUACCUUGAGAAAAUUAGAGUGUUUCAGGCAGGCUAGGCCGGAAUACAUUAGCAUGGAAUAAUGGAAUAGGACUACGGUCUCUUUGUUGGUUUGAGGGACUGCAGUAAUGAUUAAUAGGGAUAGUUGGGGGCAUUAGUAUUUAAUUGUCAGAGGUGGAAUUCUCGGAUUUGUUAAAGACUAACUUAUGCGAAAGCAUUUGCCAAGGAUGUUUUCAUUAAUCAAGAACGAAAGUUAGGGGAUCAAAGACGAUCAGAUACCGUCCUAGUCUUAACCAUAAACUAUGCC
rnacentral:rRNA from 1 species